rnacentral:tRNA from 1 species
GCCCCUGUAGUGUAAUGGACAACAUACAUCCUUGCGGAGGAUGUGAUCUGCGUUCGAAUCGCAGCAGGGGCA